GAUGAAGAACGUAGCGAAAUGCGAUAAGUAAUGUGAAUUGCAGAAUUCAGUGAAUCAUCGAAUCUUUGAACGCACAUUGCGCCCGCCAGUAUUCUGGCGGGCAUGCCUGUUCGAGCGUCAUUUCAACCCUCAGGCCCCCAGUGCCUGGUGUUGGGGAUCGGCCCAGCCUUCCUGUAAGGCCGCCGGCCCCGAAAUCUAGUGGCGGUCUCGCUGCAGCCUCCAUUGCGUAGUAGCUAACACCUCGCAACUGGAACGCGGCGCGGCCAUGCCGUAAAACCCCAACUUCUGAAUGUUGACCUCGGAUCAGGUAGGAAUACCCGCUGAACUUAAGCAUAUCAAUAAGCGGAGGA
rnacentral:misc_RNA from 1 species